rnacentral:rRNA from 1 species
GUGGGGAAUUUUGGACAAUGGGGGCAACCCUGAUCCAGCAAUGCCGCGUGAGUGAAGAAGGCCUUCGGGUUGUAAAGCUCUUUUGUCUGGGAAGAAAUCCCCUGGGAUAAUACCUCGGGGGGAUGACGGUACCGGAAGAAUAAGCACCGGCUAACUACGUGCCAGCAGCCGCGGUAAUACGUAGGGUGCAAGCGUUAAUCGGAAUUACUGGGCGUAAAGCGUGCGCAGGCGGUUGUGCAAGACAGAUGUGAAAUCCCCGGGCUUAACCUGGGAACUGCAUUUGUGACUGCACGGCUAGAGUGUGUCAGAGGGGGGUAGAAUUCCACGUGUAGCAGUGAAAUGCGUAGAGAUGUGGAGGAAUACCGAUGGCGAAGGCAGCCCCCUGGGAUAACACUGACGCUCAUGCACGAAAGCGUGGGGAGCAAACAGGAUUAGAUACCCUAGUAGUCC